CGCGACAUCCUCUUUCUUUCCCCUUCUUUUUUCUCCCUAGUCUCACCCUCUCGUCAGGCCUCAACACUCCCCUCCGCCCGGCCUCCCCUUUCCUUCGGUCCUUACCCCUCAGCUCCGGGGACAGGCAGCACAAGCCCGUGCCUCGACGGCCGCGCCAAGGAAUGGGGAGGAGCGGCAGCGGCCAAGAGAGCUUCAGCCCCGGCACGUGCGCCUGCUCCUACGGUGUCAACGUCUUCGACCUCCAGACGUGGCGCCGGGAGCAAUGCACCAAGCAGUCCACCGCUUCAUGGAGAUAAUGAGAACGGGACGCUCUGGGAUCCGGCGUUUGUUCUGCCGGUCGGGCUCGAGAUGUUCUACGGCAAGACGAAGCCGCGCCAAGGGAAGGAGCGGUGUCACGGCGGCCAUGCGAAGGAAGGGGCGGCCACGCGUGGCGUCCGCGUCUCCUCGGCCGCAGGGGAGGAGCGACGGGGACAAGCUGUGCAGGAGGAGCGGCGGGGAGGGAUGGAUGUCCGUGCCGCCUUGGCCUCUGGCGGGGUCGGUCAGCGCGCCUCCGCCGCCGCGCGCCGGCUGGGACCUGGGAGAGGCGCCGGGCGGCCGCGCGCUCCUCCGCCGCCGGGCGCUGGCUGGAAGGGGCAGCCGCGAGCGGCGGGCAUGCAGCAGGGUGGGGCGCCCGCGAGGGCGGGCAGGCAGGGAGGGCGACGGGCGUGCGGGAAGAAGGCAUGGCGAGUGGGGAUUGGGGAAGGAUCCGGUAAGGAAGCUAGCGACAGAGAGCCCGUUUAGUUUUCAAAAAUUUUCAUGUGCUACAGUAAUUCGAAUGUUUAUUAAAUGUGGAUAACUGACUAAACCCAUUCCACAACCCCGGGCAAAAUCGCAAGACGAAUCUAAUUAUGCAAUGAUUAGACAAUGUUGUGCUACGGUAAUUAGUCUCUAAUGACGAAUUAAUUAGACUUAAUAGAUUCGUCUCGCGAUUUCCCGUCCAUCAGUGUAAUUAGAUUUACAAUUAAAUCAUGUUUAGUCCUCCUAA